CCUACGGGUGGCAGCAGUGAGGAAUAUUGGUCAAUGGGCGGAAGUCUGAACCAGCCAUGCCGCGUGCAGGAAGACUGCUCUAUGGGUUGUAAACUUCUUUUGUCCAAGGGUAAACCUGGAUACGUGUAUUCAGCUGAAAGUACUGUACGAAUAAGGAUCGGCUAACUCCGUGCCAGCAGCCGCGGUAAUACGGAGGAUCCAAGCGUUAUCCGGAUUUAUUGGGGUUAAAGGGUGGGUAGGCGGAUUGAUAAGUUAGGGGUGAAAUGUUCGGGCUUAACUCGGGAACUGCCUUUAAUACUGGUGGUCUAGAGAGUAGAUGAGGUAGGCGGAAUGCGUGGUGUAGCGGUGAAAUGCUUAGAGAUCAUACAGAACACCGAUUGCGAAGGCAGCUUACCAAUCU
rnacentral:rRNA from 1 species